rnacentral:rRNA from 1 species
GACGAACCGUACGAACGUUAUUCGGAAUCACUGGGCUUAAAGGGUGCGUAGGCGGCGCUGAAAGUUGGGUGUGAAAGCCCUCGCUUAACCGAGGAAUUGCGCCCAAAACUGCAGUGCUUGAGGGAGAUAGAGGUGAGUGGAACUUAGGGUGGAGCGGUGAAAUGCGUUGAUAUCCUAAGGAACACCAGUGGCGAAAGCGACUCACUGGGUCUUCUCUGACGCUGAGGCACGAAAGCUAGGGUAGCGAACGGG